rnacentral:rRNA from 1 species
UGGGGAAUUUUGCACAAUGGGGGAAACCCUGAUGCAGCGACGCCGCGUGAUUUAGAAGGCCUUCGGGUUGUAAAAAUCUUUUUUAUGGGAUGAAAAUGACAGUACCAUAAGAAUAAGGUCCGGCUAAAUACGUGCCAGCAGCCGCGGUAAUACGUAUGGACCGAGCGUUGUCCGGAAUCAUUGGGCGUAAAGGGUACGUAGGCGGCCCAGUAAGUUAGAAGUGAAAUAAUAUAGCUCAACUAUAUAAAGCUUUUAAAACUGCUAGGCUGGAGAGAUGGAAGGGAAAGUGGAAUUCCUAGUGUAGCGGUGAAAUGCGCAGAUAUUAGGAAGAAUACCGGUGGCGAAGGCGACUUUCUGGUCAUCAUCUGACGCUGAGGUACGAAAGCGUGGGUAGAAAACAGG